rnacentral:rRNA from 1 species
GAUGAACGCUGGUGGCGUGCCUAAUACAUGCCAGUCGAGCGAACGGACGAGAAGCUUGCUUUUCUGAUGUUAGCGGCGGACGGGUGAGUAACACGUGGAUAACCUACCUAUAAGACUGGGAUAACUUCGGGAAACCGGAGCUAAUACCGGAUAAUAUUUUGAACCGCAUGGUUCAAAAGUGAAAGACGGUCUUGCUGUCACUUAUAGAUGGAUCCGCGCUGCAUUAGCCAGUUGGUAAGGUAACGGCUUACCAAGGCAACGAUGCAUAGCCGACCUGAGAGGGUGAUCGGCCACACUGGAACUGAGACACGGUCCAGACUCCUACGGGAGGCAGCAGUAGGGAAUCUUCCGCAAUGGGCGAAAGCCUGACGGAGCAACGCCGCGUGAGUGAUGAAGGUCUUCGGAUCGUAAAACUCUGUUAUUAGGGAAGAACAUAUGUGUAAGUAACUGUGCACAUCUUGACGGUACCUAAUCAGAAAGCCACGGCUAACUACGUG